rnacentral:lncRNA from 1 species
AGCCAAAAAUAUAAAUUCGCACUUGAUAUCAUACUGCAAAUGAAAUACAGAAAUAAGUUCCAUAAUACAAAUAUAUGUUCCAAAAUUUUAAACACAAUCACAUGAACAAAACUUCAAGUUUCCCCCAACAGGCGUCUGAGGAGGGCUCAAUUUUUUAUUUUUUUGUAAUAGUCAUAGCCAUGUGUUCUAAUCCUUUAGAAAUGUUGGAAUUCUUAAUCAGGGGUUUUCUUGCAAGAGAUGUAAUUAACAUAGUUUUUAUGUAAAUGUAAGAAUUCUGGAAGUAAGGAGCCUGCAAUGUUUGAUAUUAUUUGUCUCAUUUUACAUUCAUGCAUUUUAUAUUUAUUUUUAUUCAAUCUGUAUCUAUAAGGUGGACUCGUAGUAUUUCCUCGUCCUAUUUUCCCGUCAUCAAGCCCCUAGAUGGGCAUGGGCAAUUUCAGGAAGCGGCUGGCCGAGUUGUACAUGGAGGUGGCCCGGAUCCUAGACUCCACAUUCGAGUACGGAUUAGAAUCAGA